UUUUCAUAGAACAUUUUUAGCGUGGAAAAAAACUUUACAAAAAUAACAAUCAAUGAAUUUUUAAUCAUAAGAUAAUCUAGAUUCAAAUGAGAGGAAUUGCUUAACUGUUGACGGAAAAAAAACAACUACAUGAUUUUCAUCCAAGUGAAUAUCUCAGCCCCAUUCAUUUGUUUCAAUUCAGUCACACAUUAGUCAAUGAUUUACAGUUGUUGAAAGAAUCUGUUGAGAACGCUCGAUGGUGUAGUCAAGUGCUCCGAGUUUACUGUCUGUUUAACAUUAGAGGACAGUUUUAAAAAGGUUGAUUCCGGGGAAGAAGAGCUUCAUGUUCUACAAAUAAUUCAAAACCGUUUCUGUUCAUCUUCUGUCCUUAUAAACUAUACUAUCUUUGGUGUUAUCUCAACAGAUCUUUCGAGGGCUGGCAAAGUUGAAUGGAAACUAAACGUGAUGUUUUUAAAAGUAUACGUUUUUAUAUUUUGUGAUAUUUAUAUUGACUCUUUAUACUGCUUUUAGAUCUCGAAAUUUCAAUGUUUCACCAUUAAAUUGGAUUUUUUAAUUAUAUUGUUAUUGAUCAAGCACCUCUCUUCAAAAUAUUUCCACGCUUUUAGAGAAAAGCACUGAAUAUCUGAGCUCGAGUAAUCGUGAUUCUGUUGGACUGUUUGCAGAACUACUUGGAACUAAAAUAAAAAUUGCUUCUUUAAAUCAUGGAGGAUCCUAUAGACCGUGCUCUUCUGUCGUUGCGCAUUGUUUUGUCACACUCCUCGACAUGCUAUGUUACAUCGCAUCCAGUGACACACUUUGAACAGUCAAAUCCCCGGAUAUAUACUAUUCUGACAGAUGUUGUGAUUCAAAUACUCGUAACACGCCCACGAAUGCGUAUUUUGACAGAACAGCUUCUCUUGAAUGCAAUUUAUACAAACUCUUUACUAUGCUCUCUUAUAGAAUGCCGCCUGAUGUCUGCAGUUGUGUCGCAGUUUAUGCGAUCUAUCAAGUCAAGUAUUUUUAUGCCUAGCAUUCUGGCAUUUCCUCUGAUACGUUUUGCCAUAGCACCGCUUGCAAAGAGGGUUCUAACAAACCCUUUUGUGCUAUUAUUUGCUUCAAAUCCUUUGAUGCAUCUUAUAGCACAUAAGGCUGCGAGAAACACAUCAAUAAGAACUUUAGUUUUUUAUCUGCUACUGUACAUUGUAGCCCUGUCUGUGAUCCAAGGAAUUGAAGUACAUCCUUUAAUGCGUGUAUUCAUGGCAGAUCCCGUCGUGCGAGUUAUGACGGCCAGCCCCGAGUUAAAUGCAGUUGUGCAUAUUUUGUUACGUGCAAUCAUCCAAAAACUAUCCAUUUCUUACUAAUGUGCCAAUAUUCAGCAUACGUACAUUCUGAAUUCUUCCAAACGAAACUUCUAGAUUAUUAAUAAUGUUAAUAAUUUUGAAUCCUUUUUGGAUAUCUUACAAAAGGGUAUUUCGCCAGAAUAGUACCCGCAUCAUCCUCUUUGAAUUUAUAGAAUUGUUAAGUGACGAAUAUUGAAUCAUAUUUUUUAUUGUUAUCUGAGUAUUUUAUAAUGAACGAUGCAUAUUUCUUUUAGCACGCAAAAACCUUUGUAUGGUCAAGAAAGUGUAAUUGCAAUGAGUCGGUUCUUAAUUGUAAUUUUUAUGCUGCAAUAAAAAAUGAGUA